AUGGCUUUCUCAUCCUGCCCAGGCCCAGGACCUCACAUUAUCCUUGAGCUGUCUGCUCUGUUAAUUUCCAUGCCUUCUCAUUUGUUCCUAGAGCAUCAACCACUCCAUCAAGCAGGAGGCUUGAAGAGCAGAUUGGUCAACUCCAUCAUCACAAAGCAUAAUCAAAAGAGAUAUAGAGCUCUACAGCUGAAGGAACUGCAGGAAAGACAUGAAAUUCAGACUCACAGAGAAGCACUGACUCCCCAGGGAGGUGACUCCUGUAGUAGUAACAAGUCUCAGCCUACAGUCGUCAUCUGUUUCUCCUGAUUGCAGGAAAAGAUAACCUCAUUUCAACACAUUGUACGCUGCUGGAAAAGAAACCCUCGAUGCAUGUACAGACUAGAGGAUGAGAAGCUGAAGACCAGUCCCACAGAAAAUGGUUUGGGGGUUGAUCACAAGCUAAAUAUGAAUCAGCAGUGUGCCCUGACAGACAAAAGUACCAACCACACCCUGCAACGUAUCACGCUCAGCUUUGCUAGAUGGUCAAGUGAAGGUAUCUUCACUGAGUACAUAGUUGGUCACUUUGGACAAUGCUCUCAGAAAUAGGGCUUGAAUUUUGAGUGAUUCUGUGUGGAGCCAGGAGUUCAAUUUGAUGACUGAGUCUCUUCUACCUCUAGUUACUCUAUGAUGCUAUGUUUCUCUCUCAAGGAUAAAGACAUGAAACAAGGGACUAGAAGCUUUUAUACAGACAAGUGAGUGUCACUUUGGGAGCCUUGGUUUGAGUCAUGCUAGUUGAUCGUAGGUUUGGCUGCCUGGUUUACCUGGGCAAGACUUGUGACGUAAGCCUGAUACAGUAUUGAAAUACUGUUUGGUUAAAGUUUCAGAAGGUGAAGGUCAAUACAUCUAUGGAAGAAAUAUCUUAAGGAAGAGGAGAGGAGAGGAGAGGAGAGGAGAGGAGAGGAGAGGA
rnacentral:lncRNA from 1 species